rnacentral:lncRNA from 1 species
AAUCAUGUAAUUAACUGCCUUAAUUAUAAUUAGCUCUCCCUAUUAAUAUCAAUCAAACACCUCCUUUCUUUUGGUUGGCACUCCCUCUAACCUAUUGGCAAUUUUUUUUAUUUUUGAACCCAAAAAAAAUCCCUCAAUUACAUAUCUAAUAAAUAGUUACCUAUAAAAAUAAUAAAAAUAAUAUAUAUAUAUAUAUCAGUACAUUUUUUUUUAUAGAAAAUAUAGGU